rnacentral:lncRNA from 1 species
GUUAAUUGACAUCCAAAGCAAUCCAAUGAAUCCACAAUCGAAAGUAAUUGAUUUGAAACUCUAAAAACCCAAGGAAAAAUGUGGAAAUCGCCUCUAGAGGCUGCUGGGUUCGAAGAUGAUAAAGUAAAACCCUAGAAAGGGGUUUUUAAACGCAAAAACGUACUGUCGGAUCUGAACAGAGGCGGCGGCGCCGUGACACGGCGGCGCCGUGUGCCCCCUUCGCAGUUUGGGCACGGCGGCCGCCGUCACACGGCGCCCGCCGUCCACUGCAAUGCGCAGCAGUUUUGUUUUGGCCCGUUCUCCCUCGUUUCAAGUCGGAUUUUGGAUCCGUUUUCGCCUACGAACUCGUAUCGAGACGAACUUCGAUUCUUCUUCAAACCAAUCAACUAAAUUCUGACUUUAUUUUUGUCCACAUAUCAAUCAAUUUGAGCACAAAAUCCUGAGACAACAAAAUUAGCACAAAAGCUCAAAUCAUUCAACUCUUAAGUGAAAGAGACCAAAAUAAAAGUCAAUAUAAGACGUAAACACCCACAAAUUCAUCACAAAAUAGGGCUAAACAGAAAGCAAAGAUAGCCAAGCAUCAAUCCACCAGAACUGCUUUCCAGUAAAUGUUGAUUAAGAACCACACCAUAAUUAGGCAUCAGGAAAAAGGAGCGUAUAACAAUAAUUAGUUCAGAGGAAAGAGUUUUUAGGAGAGGGAUAGAAGUCUUAGCUUAUGUUUCUGUUUCUUCGAUGGGCCCAGACCCUUCUUUGUAGAGGUUCCCGACGAAGCCCUCUUCUGGUCGCGGUGGCAAUCUCGACGGCCGAGCACGACCUCCCCUGAACGGUGAUUUGGAAACAUUAUUGCAUGCUGAAUCGCGCGAAGAGAGCAGAGCAGCGACGAGGAAGAGAGCCGAGCAGCGACAAGGAAAGAGGCGGCGGCGCUGGCUGCGCUGCCGAGCAGAGCAGCGGCGGGGGCGAGAGGUGGCGGCGCUGGUCAAGAAAGAGUGAGAGGAUCGCGAUUGGAGAUGUUGGCGAGGAACCCUGAAUUAAUCCCUAACUCCGAUUUUGCAAUCGAAGGGUAUUCUGAUGGGAAUUUGGGGAUUUUCGUUGGAAUCUAAGAAUGAUCCGAUCUGGAUCUAGAAGACAGAACGGCGGUAAGAAUUUGGGUGAUUGUGGAUUGAGAAAUGAUGCUUUGGUGGCGGUAGUAAGGAUCCGAUUCAGAUCUGAGAGAGAGAAAUGAGCGGCGGUGAAUGCCGCCGAAAAUUGAAGGGAGACCGCCGUCCUUUUCUCCGGAAGCUCCAAACAUUCAAGAGGAGAUGGUUUCUUCGAUGAACAGUGACUGGAAUAGUGAUGAUGGAUCUGAUGAACAGUACCGAACAGUGAUUAACGGUGAUGAACAGUGACCGGAAAACAAUGAAUCUCACGCCUUAGCUCAUUUUCCCACAGACGGCGCCAGUUGGUGAAACGAGAAACCAACACCUAAACUAGAAAGCUAUAAACGACACCGGAUUUACGUGGUUCGGUCGAGAAGACCUACGUCCACGGGGGUUUUGGAGGUUUUUCCACUAUAAUCGAGAGAGUCUUUACAGUUUACAAGUUGUGGCUAUAAAAAUGAAUAUCCC